rnacentral:rRNA from 1 species
AAAUUGAAGAGUUUGAUCAUGGCUCAGAUUGAACGCUGGCGGCAGGCCUAACACAUGCAAGUCGAACGGUAGCACAGAGAGCUUGCUCUCGGGUGACGAGUGGCGGACGGGUGAGUAAUGUCUGGGAAACUGCCUGAUGGAGGGGGAUAACUACUGGAAACGGUGGCUAAUACCGCAUAACGUCGCAAGACCAAAGAGGGGGACCUUCGGGCCUCUUGCCAUCAGAUGUGCCCAGAUGGGAUUAGCUAGU